rnacentral:rRNA from 1 species
UACGAAGGGGGCUAGCGUUGCUCGGAAUCACUGGGCGUAAAGCGCACGUAGGCGGAUUGUUAAGUCAGGGGUGAAAUCCUGGAGCUCAACUCCAGUACUGCCUUUGAUACUGGCGAUCUCGAGUCCGGGAGAGGUGAGUGGAACUGCGAGUGUAGAGGUGAAAUUCGUAGAUAUUCGCAAGAACACCAGUGGCGAAGGCGGCUCACUGGCCCGGUACUGACGCUGAGGUGCGAAAGCGUGGGGAGCAAACAGG